rnacentral:rRNA from 1 species
GAUGAACGCUGGCGGCGUGCCUAAUACAUGCAAGUCGAGCGAACAGAUGAGGAGCUUGCUCCUCUGACGUUAGCGGCGGACGGGUGAGUAACACGUGGAUAACCUACCUAUAAGACUGGGAUAACUUCGGGAAACCGGAGCUAAUACCGGAUAAUAUAUUGAACCGCGUGGUUCAAUAGUGAAAGACGGUUUUGCUGUCACUUAUAGAUGGAUCCGCGCCGCAUUAGCUAGUUGGUAAGGUAACGGCUUACCAAGGCAACGAUGCGUAGCCGACCUGAGAGGGUGAUCGGCCACACUGGAGCUGAGACACGGUCCAGACUCCUACGGGAGGCAGCAGUAGGGAAUCUUCCGCAAUGGGCGAAAGCCCGACGGAGCAACGCCGCGUGAGUGAUGAAGGUCUUCGGAUCGUAAAACUCUGUUAUUAGGGAAGAACAAAUGUGUAAGUAACUGUGCACGUCUUGACGGUACCUAAUCAGAAAGCCACGGCUAACUACGUG